CAGCCGGGUAAUUCCAGCUCCAAUAGCGUAUAUUAAAGUUGUUGCAGUUAAAAAGCUCGUAGUUGAAUUUCGGGAUCAAUAUGUUGGUCGUGCCUUUGGUACGUACUAGCUUAUUGAUUUCUCCCUUCUGACGAACCAUGAUGUCAUUAAUUUGGUGUCAUGGGGAAUCAGGACUGUUACUUUGAAAAAAUUAGAGUGUUUAAAGCAGGCUUACGCUUGAAUAUAUUAGCAUGGAAUAAUGAAAUAGGACGUUUUGAUUCUAUUUUGUUGGUUUCUAGGAUCGACGUAAUGAUUAAUAGGGAUAGUUGGGGGCAUUAGUAUUCAAUUGUCAGAGGUGAAAUUCUUGGAUUUAUUGAAGACUAACUACUGCGAAAGCAUUUGCCAAGGAUGUUUUCAUUAAUCAAGAACGAAAGUUAGGGGAUCGAAGACGAUCAGAUACCGUCGUAGUCUUAACCAUAAACUAUGCCGACUAGGGAUCGGAUGAUGUUAAUUUUUUAAUGACUCAUUCGGCGCCUUACG
rnacentral:misc_RNA from 1 species